CCACCUGCCUGUCUCAAUGGAAAGAAUAUGUGGAUUUGGAUUCAGGGACACCUUUAUCACCUAUGUGACUUUAGGAGUCAAUGAAGCAAGUUCAUGAGACUCUGAGGCAAGGACACCAAACCAGGGGUUUUAGCUCCUACCCAUGGUACUGGCUAAUAUAUCUGACCACACUGGCUCUGCAAGACCAUGGCUGAAGACUGCUUAAAUGUUGUCCCUGAGUCAAUAUCUUAACAUUUAUUGCAUCUUUUAUUUUCUUAACAAAAAUGAAGGCAUUUGUGACUGUGUUGUUUUCCAUCAAAAAUUGGGAAUCAUGCCCUUUCAUACAACACAGUUGUGACACAAUUUGUUGAAGUGAAAGAACACUGGAACAGAAACAAGAAUACCUGAGAUGGAGACUCACCUCUUACCAUCAAUCUAGUGUUGACUUUGGGU
rnacentral:lncRNA from 10 species